rnacentral:rRNA from 1 species
UUCCGCCUGGGGAGUACGGCCGCAAGGCUGAAACUCAAAGGAAUUGACGGGGGCCCGCACAAGCGGUGGAGCAUGUGGUUUAAUUCGAAGCUACGCGAAGAACCUUACCAGGUCUUGACAUACUAUGCAAAUCUAAGAGAUUAGACGUUCCCUUCGGGGACAUGGAUACAGGUGGUGCAUGGUUGUCGUCAGCUCGUGUCGUGAGAUGUUGGGUUAAGUCCCGCAACGAGCGCAACCCUUAUUAUCAGUUGCCAGCAUUAAGUUGGGCACUCUGGUGAGACUGCCGGUGACAAACCGGAGGAAGGUGGGGAUGACGUCAAAUCAUCAUGCCCCUUAUGACCUGGGCUACACACGUGCUACAAUGGAUGGUACAACGAGUUGCGAACUCGCGAGAGUAAGCUAAUCUCUUAAAGCCAUUCUCAGUUCGGAUUGUAGGCUGCAACUCGCCUACAUGAAGUCGGAAUCGCUAGUAAUCGCGGAUCAGCAUGCCGCGGUGAAUACGUUCCCGGGCCUUGUACACACCGCCCGUCACACCAUGAGAGUUUGUAACACCCAAAGUCGGUGGGGUAACCUUUUAGGAACCAGCCGCCUAAGG